UACGGAGGGUGCAAGCGUUGUCCGGAUUUAUUGGGUUUAAAGGGUGCGUAGGUGGGACCUAAAGUCUGGUUUGAAAGCUGGUGGCUCAACCAUCAGAUGUGGCUGGAAACUGAGGUUCUUGAAUGGCGUAGAGGUAACCGGAAUGGGUCAUGUAGCGGUGAAAUGCAUAGAUAUGACCCGGAACACCGAUUGCGAAGGCAGGCUACUGGGUGUCGAUUGACACUGAGGCACGAGAGCAUGGGUAGCAAACAGG
rnacentral:rRNA from 1 species